rnacentral:rRNA from 1 species
GACGGAGGGUGCAAGCGUUGCUCGGAAUCACUGGGCGUAAAGGGCGCGUAGGCGGCCACCGCAAGUCGACUGUGAAAUCUCCGGGCUUAACCCGGAAAGGUCAGCCGAUACUGCGGGGCUAGAGUGCAGAAGGGGCAACUGGAAUUCUCGGUGUAGCGGUGAAAUGCGUAGAUAUCGAGAGGAACACCUGCGGCGAAGGCGGGUUGCUGGGCUGACACUGACGCUGAGGCGCGAAAGCUAGGGGAGCGAACGGG